CAGUAGCCACGGUAAUACGGAGGGGGCUAGCGUUGUUCGGAAUUAUUGGGCGUAAAGCGCACGUAGGCGGCUUUGUAAGUUAGAGGUGAAAGCCCGGAGCUCAACUCCGGAAUUGCCUUUAAGACUGCAGAGCUAGCAGGUGAGAGAGGUGAGUGGAAUUCCGAGUGUAGAGGUGAAAUUCGUAGAUAUUCGGAAGAACACCAGUGGCGAAGGCGGCUCACUGGCUCAUUCUAGACGCUGAGGUGCGAAAGCGUGUGGAGCAAACAGGAUUAGAUACCCCAGUAGUCCCUGUCUCUUAUAC
rnacentral:rRNA from 1 species